rnacentral:rRNA from 1 species
AUUGAACGCUGGCGGCAGGCCUAACACAUGCAAGUCGAGCGGAUGACGGGAGCUUGCUCCUUGAUUCAGCGGCGGACGGGUGAGUAAUGCCUAGGAAUCUGCCUGGUAGUGGGGGACAACGUUUCGAAAGGAACGCUAAUACCGCAUACGUCCUACGGGAGAAAGCAGGGGACCUUCGGGCCUUGUGCUAUCAGAUGAGCCUAGGUCGGAUUAGCUAGUUGGUGGGGUAAUGGCUCACCAAGGCGACGAUCCGUAACUGGUCUGAGAGGAUGAUCAGUCACACUGGAACUGAGACACGGUCCAGACUCCUACGGGAGGCAGCAGUGGGGAAUAUUGGACAAUGGGCGAAAGCCUGAUCCAGCCAUGCCGCGUGUGUGAAGAAGGUCUUCGGGUUGUAAAGCACUUUAAGUUGGGAGGAAGGGCAGUAAGUUAAUACCUUGCUGUUUUGACGUUACCGACAGAAUAAGCACCGGCUAACUCUGUGCCAGCAGCCGCCGUAACAC